rnacentral:rRNA from 1 species
GACGAAGGGUGCUAGCGUUGUUCGGAUUUACUGGGCGUAAAGCGCACGUAGGCGGGUUGUUAAGUCAGGGGUGAAAUCCUGGAGCUCAACUCCAGAACUGCCUUUGAUACUGGCAACCUAGAGGCUGGAAGAGGUUAGUGGAAUUCCCAGUGUAGAGGUGAAAUUCGUAGAUAUUGGGAAGAACACCAGUGGCGAAGGCGGCUAACUGGUCCAGAUCUGACGCUGAGGUGCGAAAGCGUGGGGAGCAAACAGG